rnacentral:rRNA from 1 species
UACGUAGGGUGCGAGCGUUAAUCGGAAUUACUGGGCGUAAAGGGUGCGCAGGCGGUUAUAUAAGACAGAUGUGAAAUCCCCGGGCUCAACCUGGGAACUGCGUUUGUGACUGUAUGACUAGAGUACGGUAGAGAGGGGUGGAAUUCCUGGUGUAGCAGUGAAAUGCGUAGAUAUCAGGAGGAACAUCGAUGGCGAAGGCAGCCCCUUGGACCUGUACUGACGCUCAUGCACGAAAAGCGUGGGGGAGCAAACAGG